UGGAUCCAAUCCCAAAAGGCCAUGAUUGCAGCAUACUCGGUUUCUCAUGUUUCCGGAAAGGCUGUGGGACUCAGAAGGGGAAUUUCUGGGUAGCCUGGCAGCACUUCUUGUUAAGGAUUGGGGAAGGUUCGUGUAAAGCUAAUCUUACUUUACUAUUAGGAAAUCAGCAGUGGUCCUUGGAUUCCUCCACAGAGCUACUUAGUAGCUUUGGUUCAGUUUUGACUCACUGAAGUUUAGAGAAUGGAAUCUGCAAAGUAAGAUCUUUUCUGUUGGACUUUCAGUGCUAAGAAUUUGUGUGGGUGCUGUUGAAUCAAAGACAUCUUUAUUUUCUGCCUCCUCACCAUGCAGAAUCCUAUUCCAAGAACUUGGGCACUCAGGUAUCCACCAUGGGGUUGGGUCCUGAACAGAAGAUGUCAAAUGGCAAUGUUUCUGGAGACCAUAGGGACACUGCCGGCCUUGAUGCCUUCAGCUGUGCCUAUGGUAACUCCUCUCUUCCACAGUCCACCAAACACUCAGAGGAGCCCUUUGCCACCUACUUUAAUGAGAAGAUCACCAUUCCUGAGGAGGAGUACUCUUGUUUUAGCUUUCGUAAACUCUGGGCUUUCAUGGGACCAGGCUUUCUUAUGAGCAUUGGUUUCCUGGAUCCAGGAAACAUUGAAGCUGAUUUGCAGUCUGGAGCAGUGGCUGGAUUUAAGUUGCUCUGGGUACUGCUGUUGGCUACCAUCUUGGGGCUGCUGCUCCAGCGGCUCGCAGUUAGACUGGGAGUGGUCACUGGGCUGCAAUCUUGCUGAAGUGUGUCACCGUCAGUAUCCCAAGGUCCCACGAAUUAUCCUAUGGCUGAUGGUAGAGUUGGCUAUUAUUGGCUCAGAUAUGCAAGAAGUCAUUGGCUCAGCCAUUGCCAUCAAUCUUCUGUCUUUAGGAAGGGUUCCUCUGUGGGGUGGAGUCCUUAUCACCAUUGCAGAUACCUUUGUGUUUCUCUUUUUGGACAAAUAUGGCUUGCGGAAGUUAGAAGCAUUUUUUGGAUUUCUCAUCACUGUUAUGGCCCUUACAUUUGGAUAUGAGUAUGUUACAGUGAAACCCAGCCAGACCAGGUACUCAAGGGCAUGUUCGUGCAUCCUGUUCAGGCUGUCGCACACCACAGACGCCAGCGCUGUGCAUCGGGGAGCCUGUCACUCAAUGCCACACAACGUAGCUCCAUAGUCACUUAGUCAUUUCUAGACAGGUAAACCGGAAUAAUAAACAAGAAGUUCGAGAAGCCAAUAAGUACUUUUUCAUUGAAUCCUGCAUUGCUGUCUUUGUUUCCUUCGUCAUCAACGUCUUUGUUAUGUCAGUCUUUGCUGAAGCAUUUUUUGAGAAAACCAAUGAGCAGGUGGUUGAAGUGUGUCAAAAUAGCAGCAGUCCCCAUGCUGGCGUCUUUCCUAACAAUAACUCAACACUGAUUGUGAACAUUUACAAAGGGGGUAUUGUUCUGGGAUGUUACUUUGGGCCUGCUGCUCUCUACAUCUGGGCAGUGGGGAUCCUGGCUGCAGGACAGAGCUCCACCAUGACAGGAACCUAUUCUGGCCAGUUUGUCAUGGAGGGAUUCCUGAAACUGAAAUGGUCACGCUUUGCCCGAGUGAUUCUGACCCGCUCUAUUGCCAUCAUUCCCACACUGUUUGUUGCUGUCUUCCAAGAUGUGGAGCAUCUAACAGGGAUGAAUGAUUUCCUGAAUGUUCUGCAGAGCUUACAGCUUCCAUUUGCUCUCAUACCCAUCCUCACCUUUACAAGCUUACGGCCAGUAAUGAGUGACUUUGCCAAUGGAAUAGGCUGGAGGAUUGCAGGUGGGAUCGUGGUCCUUAUCGUCUGUUCCAUCAACAUGUAUUUUGUAGUGAUUUAUGUCCAGGAACUAGGGCAUGUGGCAUUAUACGUGGUGGCUGCUGUGAUCAGUGUGGCUUAUCUGAGCUUUGUGUUCUACUUGGGUUGGCAAUGCUUGAUUGCACUGGGCAUGUCCUUCCUGGACUGUGGGCACAUGGUAAGCAUCUCUAAAGGCCUGCUGACUGAAGAAGCCACCGGUGGCUAUGCUAAGUAAACACUGGAUUAGUCUGUCUGUCUUGCGCAGGUAGCCAUCAGAGCCAGUGUGUUUCUAUGGUUUACUGUGUGAACAUAGCUAAAAGUAUGUGCUGAUGCACAGACUGCAUUUAGGACUCAAGUGCUGGUUGGGGGAGACUUUCUUUCAUAUGUGUUUGAAAGAUGGAAUUAUUUUUCUUUUCUUGACCUCCUUACCUGGGACCUGGAUUAAGUAGGAUCUUUAAAAAGCUGACAUUUGCUACUAUCAUUCCAACACUAAAUUCUUAAGUAGCUGCCCAAGGGUUAUCUAGCUUAUUUUAUCCUUUUGAGAUAAUCAUCUAUGCAUGAUUCUUGACCAGGCCAUAUGUUUCAAAAAUUUUGGGAAAGUGCAAAACAGUUGUCAUAAUACAUAC